UGUGAGGCUGUGUGUAGGCGUUCUCCAGGAGGGAAGAAAUUAACUCUGGGGAAGGCGGAUGACCAGAGGCCUCCAAGCACCUUGCUCCACUUUGGGAGCCCAUGCAAUCUCAUUUGCCCUGCGCAAGUCUAUAGGCCUGAAAAGGAACCACUGUCCUGUCUGUGGCCCUGCUGAUGGGUGACUUGGGGAUCUUCUCAGCAGUCAAUUUGCUCAGGCAAACAUCUGUCCAAGGAGGCAGACAAAUGAAGGAGGAUAAGAGGCUGAAAUGAAAAACGACAAGGACAUCGCCUGUCCAUCUGUGCUGAACUGGGUCUUGGGAAGGACAGCUCAGGACCUCCACCUGUGCUGAAUCAGGCCUUGGGAAGGACAGCCCUGAACCCCUCGUACCUCUCCUACCCCUUGGACCCCUUGUACUUCAGGGUGCUGAAAUCAGAGACAAGAGAGUCUGAUUUUAAUCAUUUUCUCAUCUCAAUCUUGAGCAAUUUCUAGCCAACGUCUGGGAAAAUAACAUGAUGCCCUCGAUGCUAGUAAUACUAUCCAAAUCAGAAUUCCAGUUUUCACAGUGCCUUGGAGAUGCAUGAGAGACAAAUGUCUAAGCCAGAGUUUAAACUAUAUGUGCAAAUCGCAUCACAGAGGUAGCCAGGGGCCUCUGUCUAAAUGUCAGUGGCAAGCUUGCUUUUUUUUUUAGAAGAAUUUGGAUUUUCAAUUCCACACACAAGAGAACCCCAAUUCUCAAAACCCUUAGCGCUUUCCUUCCCGAGUCAAACAAAACAAGAUUUGUUUUAAAAAUCCUUCCCUCCAGAGAGCCUUAGGAUUGCUUUCAUCUAUUAUUAAGCUGUGUGUUUUUACACACAGGAGAAGGGACAUUAUAUAAUACAUGGUAUGGUCUGUGGUCUCAAUGUACAGUCAAUAUAAUAUAUGUAGCAUACAGUAUGUAAGAUAUAUAAUUCUGUGCUAAGGUAGCAUUAUUUAAAAAAUAAGAAAUGUGAAUUUGUGCAUUGGUGUUGUGUUAGAUUGUUAUCCCCCAGCCCCCAAUCCUUCUGUAGCAGACCAAUUUUCUUAGCACUGGUAAUAGAAGGGACCCAUAAAUAGUAAAAAAAAAAAAGAUGUAAGGACCAGACCUGUAACCACAGAAGUCCAAGGCUAUUCUUGAUUACAUAGCCAGUUUGAGGCCAGCCUGGGCUACAUGAGACUCUGGAACACACACACAAAAGAACUAUGGGUACAUAUUUGGGAAUAUAUUGACUCCUGACUCAGGAAUCAGAGGUGGGACCCCAGAACUGUCACUUUCAAUACACAUAUUUGGGUGCCUGAGACUUGUGUGAAUUACCUAGUCCUGGAUGGUGCCCAUAUGUACAUUAACAAUCAUCAUACUUUAAUUACUGGUUGCUGCAAGGAACUAAAAAGGGAAUACUAUAUAGUCAGGAGUUAACAUUCAGUAAGAGCUCUGCUAUUCAUUACUACUAUCCUUAGUUCUGUAACAGCCUAAGAAAAGCGUUAUAAAAUUACAAGAUUUUAGAGCAAGAAGCUUCCAUUGGUAAUGAUGAGCUCACCCCUCAAAGAUUUUUCUAAGACUUUUCAGUGGCUUCUAAAUGCCUGCCUCCCAGAGCUGAUGAGUGAUAGCAGCUUCUUCAGCAUGCAGAGGGAUGUGUGCCUCCCUCCUGGGAGGUGAUGUUUUCCCUUCCCUGAGGUCAUAGAUAAAUCUACACUAACUUCUGUUCUUUUUUAAUUUCAUAUAUGUGCUACAGUUUUCCUUUAUGGAAUGAAGAUAAUAAUUAUCUUCCAUAGAAGGACAUUAGUAAGUCUACUAGAAUUCCCCUGAUUGAUUUUACUGCAUCAGGAGGUCUAAAACCCGCCGCACAAUACUCAGUAUCUUUCUUAGCAAAUGCAAAAGUCAGCUUCAGCCUAGAAAAUAUAUACACAUAUGAAUGUGGUGUGUGUGUGUGAGGGGGUCUGUUUUCAUUUUUCUGUACCAAGUGGGGUUGCAUAAUGCCUGUUUGAGUAAAAUAAUUUCAGCGAUGAGUCUGCUUUUCUAUCUUAGAUGGAACAGACAUAUCUCCCAUGUUCUGGGUUUUCUUAAAUAGCCAGGAGUCUUGAUGAUAAAGACAAGCAACCAUCUAAUAGAGAAAUAACUCCAGGACAGAGUGCCGUGGCUGCCUGAUGUCGCUUUCCUGACAACCUAUAAAAGCGUCAUAUUGAUGAAGUGAAUGAGACCUUCUCUGGUCAUUUUCAACUAGGAACUAAUAACCCCGCCAUGCUAUCAGGCAUGCAAUAACCUCCAUGAAAACUUGGUUCAUCCCAUAAAUCACUCAGGAAUUUUCCUAUUUCUUUCGCAGGACACAUUGCACAUCUGCUCAAUGAAAGGAGGAAAGAGGCAAUAUUUCUUUGAUCAGGAUCUCUCUCUCUCUCUCUUUCUGUCUCUCUUUUAAUAUUCUUGUAUCUAUCCCUUGGGAUGCUAUCGUUUCAAGUGGGUGCAGAGAGUCCAUCACUUUCUAAUGAAUGCAGAGAAUUUAUGAAUUUGAGCUAUAAAACGAAAUAUGAGGGAUUUUAGUUCAUCUCAAUCUAUAUUUUACAUUGUCAUGAGAAAAUCAAGCAGGCCACAAAGCCGUAUUGUGCCCUGUUCACUAAAUCUCCUGAUCUCUCAUGACCCCUCAAUGUGUUCCAUUUGUGGCCACAUAUGGAAGAGGGUUGCAAACAGAUGAUUGCUUUGUGUUUUCCCUCAAAUAUGUCAAAGGCAUAGCAUGCUUUUCAGACCAUCUUGGUUGCGGACAGGAAGAGCUUGGCCAGUGCAGCAGACAUCAGCCUCGGCUAAUACUGUCAUGCUUGGACAUCUUACUGAUUCUGUGACUACUUUCUAGGUACUGAAAGCACUUUGGAAUUUGUAGGGUGGACUUGGUUGUCAUCCUAAGUCCCGAGGAGGUUUAAAGCCUCAGGCCAGAUCCCCAAGUGAGAAGGAAUUGUGAGGAGAAGAUGUCUUUUCUGUGUGUGAAAUAAAAGGAGCCGUGUAGACAGCUGGGGAAGCGGAGAGCUUUCGGCCAGUGAGCAGGAGGCUCUCCCAGGGUUGCUUCUGCUGGCCCCUCUCACUGGUGUGGAGAGGAUAAUGGCAGAGAAGGUGCAGGGGUCCAGUAGACCCAUGUUCAAAUUUCAAGCACUGAAAUCCCAGAGAUGAUGGGGGGGGGGGAAUUUAUCCUUCAAACCACCACCAUACUGUCUGGCAGGGAUGUGGCGGGACAGUUCUGUCAACUUAGAGCCCUCUCAUUUGGGAAGAAUACCACUGACCGGGAGGAAAGGCUACAAGACAUUCAGCAAGAACCAUCUGAUGCCUCCUUUACGUGUUACGUAGCAGGGGCCCCUAAAAGUGGUGACUGCUUUUCUCACUUAUGGUCCUGCCCCACCUGGCAGCAUGCCAGCUGUGUGAUUCCCAAGCAUGACACUUAACCUCUCUGAUCUUAAGAAUGCUAGCUGUAAAAGACUGGUAUCAAAUAUACCUCUGAAUGGUUGUUACCUAGGAGACACUUGGGGGCAUAACGUGGAGGACAGCAGCUGGCAUACAGUAGGCGAUACAUAAUGUUACUUUAAUAAAAAUCUGAUAUUGGAAUCUCACAUUAGCUGCUGCCAUUCCGGUCCUUGGUUCUUUCUAGUGGGCUUGUAUUUCCUCCCAAAACGAGCAGUUAUUAGCAUGUAUUAAACUUGGCUAUGAACCAUG